UACAGAGGUCUCAAGCGUUGUUCGGAUUCAUUGGGCGUAAAGGGUGCGUAGGCGGCGCGGUAAGUCGGGUGUGAAAUCGUCGGGGCUUAACUCCGAAACUGCAUUCGAUACUGCCGUGCUUGAGGACUGGAGAGGAGACUGGAAUUUACGGUGUAGCGGUGAAAUGCGUAGAUAUCGUAAGGAAGACCAGUGGCGAAGGCGGGAUCGUCUCGGACAGUUCCUGACGCUGAGGCACGAAAGGUCAGGGGAGGCAAACGGG
rnacentral:rRNA from 1 species